UGCAUGGCUUAGAUGGUAAAGCGUCUGCCUUGAUAGCAGGAGAUCACGUGUUCGAGUCUCGUUGGGACCU
rnacentral:tRNA from 1 species